rnacentral:rRNA from 1 species
AGUGAACGCUGGCGGUAGGCCUAACACAUGCAAGUCGAACGGCAGCACAGUAAGAGCUUGCUCUUACGGGCGUCGCGUGGCGGACGGUUGAGGAAUACAUCGGAUUCUACUUUUUCGUGGGGGAUAACGUAGGGUAACUUACGCUAAUACCGCAUUCGUCCUCCUUGUGAAAGCAGGGGUUCUUUUGACCUUGCGCGAUUGUAUGAGCCUAUGUCGGAUUAGCUAGUUGGCGGGGUAAAGGCCCACCAAGGCGACGAUCCGUAGCUGGUCUGAGAGGAUGUUCAGCCACACUGGAACUGAGACACGGUCGAGACUCCUACGGGAGGAAGCAGUGGGGAAUAUUGGACGAGGGGGGCAAGCCUGAUCCGGCCAUACCGCGUGGGUGAAGAAGGCCUUCGGGUUGUAAAGCCCUUUUGUUGGGAAAGAAAAGCAGCAGGUUAAUACCCCGCUGUUAUGACGGUACCCAAAGAAUAAGCACCGGCUAACUUCGUG